AGAAGAGCACAGCUCAGUUACGGCUGCCACGACGAUAGCUGCGGGUCGGCGACAACUACGGCAAGGCCAUCGCCCAGUGCCACACGUGCCGCUGUACAUGGCACCACGCCGUCCUCUCUUGCUCCACUAGAAUCUCCUCAUCUCCUCUCCGUCCUCUUCAGUUUUGCCUACAUUAUGCAUGAAUCUACAAAGUCCACCUACAUAAUUCAUCAAGCCUACAGGUGCUCUCCUACGAUAUCUCACAAAGAUUUAAUCUAUGGACAGCGCGCAGCGUAG
rnacentral:lncRNA from 1 species